UACGGGGGGGGCAAGCGUUGUUCGGAAUUACUGGGCGGAAAGGGCUCGUAGGCGGCCAACUAAGUCGGAUGUGAAAUCCCCAGGCUUAACCUGGGAACUGCAUCCGAUACUGGAUGGCUUGAAUUCGGGAGAGGGAUGCAGAAUUCCAGGUGUAGCGGUGAAAUGCGUAGAUAUCUGGAGGAAUACCGGUGGCGAAGGCGGCAUCCUGGACCGAGAUUGACGCUGAUGAGCGAAAGCUAGGGGAGCAAACGGG
rnacentral:rRNA from 1 species